rnacentral:rRNA from 1 species
AGUGAACGCUGGCGGUAGGCCUAACACAUGCAAGUCGAACGGCAGCACAGUAAGAGCUUGCUCUUACGGGUGGCGAGUGGCGGACGGGUGAGGAAUACAUCGGAAUCUACUUUUUCGUGGGGGAUAACGUAGGGAAACUUACGCUAAUACCGCAUACGACCUACGGGUGAAAGCAGGGGAUCUUCGGACCUUGCGCGAUUGAAUGAGCCGAUGUCGGAAUAGCUAGUUGGCGGGGUAAAGGCCCACCAAGGCGACGAUCCGUAGCUGGUCUGAGAGGAUGAUCAGCCACACUGGAACUGAGACACGGUCCAGACUCCUAAGGGAGGCAGCAGUGGGGAAUAUUGGACAAUGGGCGCAAGCCUGAUCCAGCCAUACCGCGUGGGUGAAGAAGGCCUUCGGGUUGUAAAGCCCUUUUGUUGGGAAAGAAAAGCAGCAGGUUAAUACCCCGCUGUUCUGACGGUACCCAAAGAAUAAGCACCGGCUAACUUCGUG